rnacentral:rRNA from 1 species
UACGUAGGGCGCAAGCGUUGUCCGGAAUUAUUGGGCGUAAAGAGCUCGUAGGCGGCUGGUCGCGUCUGUCGUGAAAACUUCCGGCUCAACCGGGGGCUUGCGGUGGGUACGGGCCGGCUAGAGUGCGGUAGGGGUAACUGGAACUCCUGGUGUAGCGGUGGAAUGCGCAGAUAUCAGGAAGAACACCGAUGGCGAAGGCAGGUUACUGGGCCGUUACUGACGCUGAGGAG